rnacentral:rRNA from 1 species
AUUGAACGCUGGCGGAAUGCUUUACACAUGCAAGUCGAACGGCAGCACGGGGGCAACCCUGGUGGCGAGUGGCGAACGGGUGAGUAAUACAUCGGAACGUGCCCAGUCGUGGGGGAUAACGUAGUGAAAGUUACGCUAAUACCGCAUACGAUCUACAGAUGAAAGCGGGGGACCGUAAGGCCUCGCGCGAUUGGAGCGGCCGAUGUCAGAUUAGGUAGUUGGUGAGGUAAAGGCUCACCAAGCCGACGAUCUGUAGCUGGUCUGAGAGGACGACCAGCCACACUGGGACUGAGACACGGCCCAGACUCCUACGGGAGGCAGCAGUGGGGAAUUUUGGACAAUGGGCGCAAGCCUGAUCCAGCCAUUCCGCGUGCAGGACGAAGGCCUUCGGGUUGUAAACUGCUUUUGUACGGAACGAAAAGGCUCUGGUUAAUACCUGGGGCUCAUGACGGUACCGUAAGAAUAAGCACCGGCUAACUACGUGCCAGCAGCCGCGGUAA